rnacentral:rRNA from 1 species
UACGUAGGGGGCAAGCGUUGUCCGGAUUUAUUGGGCGUAAAGAGCGUGUAGGCGGUUUGGUAGGUCCGCUGUGAAAACUCGAGGCUCAACCUCGAGACGCCGGUGGAAACCAUCAGACUAGAGUCCGGAAGAGGAGAGUGGAAUUCCUGGUGUAGCGGUGAAAUGCGCAGAUAUCAGGAGGAACACCGGUGGCGAAGGCGGGUCUCUGGGCAAUAACUGACGCUGAGGAGCGAAAGCGUGGGGAGCGAACAGG